UACGUAGGGUGCAAGCGUUGCCCGGAUUUAUUUGGGCGUAAAGGGCGCGUAGGCGGCUCUGCACGUCCGUUGUCGGAAAUCGCCCGGCUCAACUGGGCGGGGUCAGCGGAUACGGCAGAGCUUGAGCAAGCUAGGGGGCAAUGGAAUUCCCGGUGUAGUGGUGGAAUGCGUAGAUAUCGGGAGGAACACCAGUGGCGAAGGCGGUUGCCUGGGGCUUUGCUGA
rnacentral:rRNA from 1 species